GGUUAAGCGACUAAGCGUACACGGUGGAUGCCCUGGCAGUCAGAGGCGAUGAAGGACGUGCUAAUCUGCGAUAAGCGUCGGUGAGGUGAUAUGAACCGUUAUAACCGGCGAUUUCCGAAUGGGGAAACCCAGUGUGUUUCGACACACUAUCAUUAACUGAAUCCAUAGGUUAAUGAGGCGAACCGGGGGAACUGAAACAUCUAAGUACCCCGAGGAAAAGAAAUCAACCGAGAUUCCCCCAGUAGCGGCGAGCGAACGGGGAGGAGCCCAGAGCCUGAAUCAGUGUGUGUGUUAGUGGAAGCGUCUGGAAAGGCGCGCGAUACAGGGUGACAGCCCCGUACACAAAAAUGCACAUAUUGUGAGCUCGAUGAGUAGGGCGGGACACGUGGUAUCCUGUCUGAAUAUGGGGGGACCAUCCUCCAAGGCUAAAUACUCCUGACUGACCGAUAGUGAACCAGUACCGUGAGGGAAAGGCGAAAAGAACCCCGGCGAGGGGAGUGAAAAAGAACCUGAAACCGUGUACGUACAAGCAGUGGGAGCCUCUUAAUGGGGUGACUGCGUACCUUUUGUAUAAUGGGUCAGCGACUUAUAUUCUGUAGCAAGGUUAACCGAAUAGGGGAGCCGAAGGGAAACCGAGUCUUAACUGGGCGUUAAGUUGCAGGGUAUAGACCCGAAACCCGGUGAUCUAGCCAUGGGCAGGUUGAAGGUUGGGUAACACUAACUGGAGGACCGAACCGACUAAUGUUGAAAAAUUAGCGGAUGACUUGUGGCUGGGGGUGAAAGGCCAAUCAAACCGGGAGAUAGCUGGUUCUCCCCGAAAGCUAUUUAGGUAGCGCCUCGUGAAUUCAUCUCCGGGGGUAGAGCACUGUUUCGGCAAGGGGGUCAUCCCGACUUACCAACCCGAUGCAAACUGCGAAUACCGGAGAAUGUUAUCACGGGAGACACACGGCGGGUGCUAACGUCCGUCGUGAAGAGGGAAACAACCCAGACCGCCAGCUAAGGUCCCAAAGUCAUGGUUAAGUGGGAAACGAUGUGGGAAGGCCCAGACAGCCAGGAUGUUGGCUUAGAAGCAGCCAUCAUUUAAAGAAAGCGUAAUAGCUCACUGGUCGAGUCGGCCUGCGCGGAAGAUGUAACGGGGCUAAACCAUGCACCGAAGCUGCGGCAGCGACGCUUAUGCGUUGUUGGGUAGGGGAGCGUUCUGUAAGCCUGUGAAGGUGUGCUGUGAGGCAUGCUGGAGGUAUCAGAAGUGCGAAUGCUGACAUAAGUAACGAUAAAGCGGGUGAAAAGCCCGCUCGCCGGAAGACCAAGGGUUCCUGUCCAACGUUAAUCGGGGCAGGGUGAGUCGACCCCUAAGGCGAGGCCGAAAGGCGUAGUCGAUGGGAAACAGGUUAAUAUUCCUGUACUUGGUGUUACUGCGAAGGGGGGACGGAGAAGGCUAUGUUGGCCGGGCGACGGUUGUCCCGGUUUAAGCGUGUAGGCUGGUUUUCCAGGCAAAUCCGGAAAACCAAGGCUGAGGCGUGAUGACGAGGCACUACGGUGCUGAAGCGACAAAUGCCCUGCUUCCAGGAAAAGCCUCUAAGCAUCAGGUAACAUCAAAUCGUACCCCAAACCGACACAGGUGGUCAGGUAGAGAAUACCAAGGCGCUUGAGAGAACUCGGGUGAAGGAACUAGGCAAAAUGGUGCCGUAACUUCGGGAGAAGGCACGC
rnacentral:rRNA from 1 species